CCUACGGGAGGCAGCAGUGAGGAAUAUUGGUCAAUGGACGAGAGUCUGAACCAGCCAAGUAGCGUGAAGGAUGACUGCCCUAUGGGUUGUAACCUUCUUUUAUAUGGGAAUAAAACGUUGCACGUGUGGGUUUUUGUAUGUACCAUAUGAAUAAGGAUCGGCUAACUCCGUGCCAGCAGCCGCGGUAAUACGGAGGAUCCGAGCGUUAUCCGGAUUUAUUGGGUUCAAAGGGAGCGUAGAUGGGUUGUUAAGUCAGUUGUGAAAGUUUGCGGCUCAACCGUAAAAUUGCAAUUGAUACUGGCAGUCUUGAGUACAGUUGAGGUAGGAGGAAUUCGUGGUGUAGCGGUGAAAUGCUUAGAUAUCACGAAGAACUCCGAUUGCGAAGGCAGCUUACUAAACUGCCACUGACAUUGAUGCUCGAAAGUGUGGGUAUCAAACAGGAUUAGAUACCCUUGUAGUC
rnacentral:rRNA from 1 species